rnacentral:misc_RNA from 1 species
GAUGAAGAACGCAGCGAAAUGCGAUAAGUAGUGUGAAUUGCAGAAUUCAGUGAAUCAUCGAAUCUUUGAACGCACAUUGCGCCCCUUGGUAUCCCGAGGGGCAUGCCUGUUCGAGCGUCAUUUCACCACUCAAGCCUGGCUUGGUGUUGGGCGACGUCCCCUUUGGGGACGCGCCUCGAAACGCUCGGCGGCGUGGCACCGGCUUUAAGCCUAGCAGAAUCUUUCGCUUUGGAAGUCGGGGCCCCGUCUGCCGGAAGACCUACUCGCAAGGUUGACCUCGGAUCAGGCAGGGAUACCCGCUGAACUUAAGCAUAUCAAUAAGCGGAGGA